GGAGACUCAGCAACACCUCACAUGCACUAAACCCCAAAGUACCACUGAACUCAAGGUAACUGCUCAAACACACCGAUGCUGUCAGAUCCAGGCCCCAUACAAGCUACUCAGCAUUCAGCUGUUCUCCAGCCACUCUUUGUUGCACACAGUCAUCCAGCUCAUGGAGUGGCAGAGGCCUUCCUGACUUGCAUGCAAAGCUGCAGGACCAUUCUUGUCAUUAUUUCCCCAAACAGAACACUCAUCAUUGGCCAGAAACACAGCACAGCAUCCUUCAACUUGAGAAGAGCUGAGCAAUUCAAACCAGCUUGUUCCAAAGCAAGACAAUUCUGGCAGUCUCAGCUACUGCUGUGAGUCUAGCAACACAUGGCACAUCAAUCCUUUACAGCUUCCCCAGGGUCUCUACCGAUCCCAAUCCACAGCAGCCUAAGGCUUGCUCUAACACCACCUCAGCUUGGUGAAAACCUUCACCUGCCAGAGUUUGGUCUAUGCUGGAAAACGCGUGCGGAUGCCACACAAUCUCAUCACAGGCAUGGACAAUCUGGCAAAAAUGUAGCUGGAAGUACCUACAGGAGACAGGUAGUACCUCUCCAGACAAAGGCCCCAAGGAAGCCCCCAUGUUACUUUAUUAAAAAAGCUUCUGUAUUUUUUCAUGAGACAAGAAAAUGGGGCAUGGGCCAACUCACCUGGUUGGAAUUAUGCCAUAACACUCUAAAGUAAUGGGUGAACUGGCAGCACAAGAGCUUAAAACAGAAUAAUAGCUUUUAAAAGCUUUUCAAAACAAAUUCUUUGUUUUGUGUUUAUAAAAUAUCCCUUGUUUGGAAGAAAAAUCAACACUCUCAAGGAAAGAACAGCUGCUCUACUGAAAACAGGCCAAUUAAUAUUUUGAAGUUUUACAACUCUUUAGGUCAGAGUCAUUCUCUGAAACUCCAAGGGGAGAUUUCAAAGAUUAAUUACAUAAACUCUGCUUCUUGCUCUCACAGUUUGCAGUUUUUUGCACACUCAGGGUUAGGUAACCAAACCCAAUUCAUCCACUCAAAAGCAACCUAAAGGAUCCCCCACAAGAAACUGGGAAUUACCUGCCUUAAUGCAAUUCGGAUCACUCACCUCAAGUAUUGACAUACAACACCAUGGGCUGCAAGAGGCGGCUGACCACUUUGUUGGGGUGGCCAGACAUCCUCAGGGAGGGAGAACUUUUGUGCCAGGCUUCAACCCUUGCAGAAACUCUGGAGAAAGGGAUUUCUUUACCUACCACUCCUAAUGGCAGUCCUUCCUGAUGGAUAUACACUUAACUUGUAUAGUGUACAACCAUAAUUAAGUGUAAAGUGCAGGGUCUGGAGGAAGCCAGACAAUUAAAUGGUGAAAGGCUGCAGAAAUGUAAAGAUACUUUAAAUUUCUUCUAAAAUUUUGCAUAAAAUCUUAUCUGGUCAAUAAGUUGCUUUAUUUGUCAUGUAUUAACAAGGGUGCUUUCACCUACAUUUAAUGUAAGGGAAUGAAUGGAGCCAAGGAAGAAGACUAAGCAGUUAAAGAGGGUUUCUUGCUACCUGAAACAUCAGAAACCAAUUUUACUUCCAUUUGAUUUGACAGAACUUUCAUCUUCUGAAACGAAAAAGAUGUCAUACUUUCAUUCCUCAGCAAAGAAUCUUUUCCUAAAGGACAAGGAUAACUACACCCCCUACAAUUCCUCCUAACUGUCUAUUGCUCCAGAAACUUGUAUCAUAAAUUCAUGGUGGAGUCAAAGGACAGCAGGAGAGCUCAGCUGACCACAAAGAGCAGGCAGAGGAAUGAGCAGGAUAAAACACACAAGCCCACAGACAAUUUUCAAAAGCUGAGAGCACUCACACGGGCAUCAAGCAGAUUACAUACACCUCACCUGCAACAUCUUACAUAAACCUCAGCUGUAGUGAUGCAUGUUUGUUUAUUGUCCAAGUCUUCCGGAGCUAACAGCAGAGUUGGAACCCAGCUACACCAACCCCACAUGGUAACAAGAGAGCGACUGAAAAGGUUUUAAUUGAAAGGUCCAGCUAUCUAUGCUCAUAAGACAUGGAAAAUUAUUUUAGUACUACUGCUGCAUUUUAACCAAAAAGAAACUUUACAUCAAGAUUAGUGGCCAGCUUCAUGCUGCACUUUUCAUCAGCCUCGCACACGGUUUACAGCAAGGAAAGCCCACAGCACACUUUUAAGAGAAAUCCCUGGGAGUUUCACAGGGGCUCCAUUUCUGUUUUACUGUUGUUUUUAGGUACUUCACACUCUAGAGCUUCCAGAGCUUUUCUAUUUAAACAGUAAAAACAUCACGAACUCCCCUGCCUGACCAUCAGUUUUAGGCAAACAAACAAUUCUAAAGCAGAGCACUUAAUGAAUUCAGAGCAUCAGUUGCAGGUCAUGAAUAACCAAGCUCAAAGUAUGCAAAUCUAGUGAUUAAAAUUCCUGCCUAGGAUAUGUUACCGAAGUGAAAACAUGUUUUAUCUUGCACCACAGUAAUUUUUUAUUCCUCGCCAAGACUUAAAAAUCCUUUUUUUUGUUACUGAAGCAUAAAUGAGAACUGUUUAAACCCCAAACUAUUUUUACAGUCAGCAAUACACUCAUUCAAACCUUACAUGCAUGUCUAAGACCUGACUCAAAUACACACUUGCCUAUACUAUCUUCCUCAGAACCUUACAUUGACAACAAGAGUUUACAAACCAGAAGUUUACAACAGCUUCCUCACAUACAACCAACCGAAUAUAAUUUGCUUACUGAAAAAGAGAAGCUGUAAUGCUUUACUGAGUUAUCCCAAUCAGCAAUACAAAGAGCUUGAUCCAGGUUUUAAAUGCCCCUUCCAAAAAAAAAAAAAAAAAGUGUUUGGGGCACUGCAACGCAAUACUUUGAACAACCCACACCUCCUUCCCUGGGACAGAAGCACAGAUGAAUACAAGACAAAGACAAUUACAGAUGGCCAGACCAAGCAAGCCAUUUCUGAUCACCCAGUUGCCAUCUAACAUGGCCUCUUCGCCAGAGCUUUUCUUCCUCAUGCUGCUGUCAAGAAGGGAUCUCUGGCUGCCCUGGUCACAGAAUCCACACAGAAAGGACACCAGGAAUCCUGAGCAUGAGGAUGUACUUUGUUAAGCACAGGUUUCCAGUGUUGGCUGUUAUGUUCACAGCUACCUGGCCCUGUGACUGUCUCCUACUGCUGUCACCAGCUGCAAGUUCUAUCUUGCAGACAGAACUUACAGAUACACAAAUGAAGUCUAGAUCACUAAAACAGACCUUUAAAACACAGGCAAGCAUUAUGUCGCUGCAGUAUAUACAUUUUAUAAGAUUUCCAAGGAGAAUGAAAAAUAAAUAUCAACACCAACCCUGGAAGUAGUUUUAGCUGCUGCCCCAGCUACAGCCAGGGGCAUUACGCUGUAAUGAGAGCUGUGAGACAGCACUGGAGAUCGUGAGGCAGAUGCCCAGAAGGGUCUGCGACUUCUCGACUAAGCGCGCCUGUGCAGGGCACAUAGCUGAAGCUCAAUCCCUCACCAUGCCCGCACCCCGCUGCGGUUCAGGGCUCCUGUGGCACGGCACACCUCUCCCAGGCCGUAGCCCCUUGGGGCUCCUUCCACAGACCCGGGCGUAGCCAGGCUGCACCGAGCGGAGGGCCGCGGCUGGAGCCGGGACGGGCAGGGCGGGGCUGGAGCCGGGCAGGGCCAAGGGAGUACGGGCGGGCCCCGCCAUGGCCGCGGGAACGCUUCCUGCGCUGCUCCGAGGGUCCCGUCCGUCCGCCGCCCGGAAAGGGGGGAAGGGUGGGCAGGAGAAGCGGCGGCCAUGCCCACCGUCUCAACAGACCAGGCCCACAAAGCUAAACGCCCGCCAGCAGCCACCAGGAGCCACCGGGAAGAGGCCGCCCUUCCCCCCGGCAGACGGCUGCCGGGGCGGCCCCGCACAGCGAGCCCGGCAGGGCGGCUCCCGCACAGCAGGCGCUCCCACGGAGAUGAAUUUCGAUGAAAUCCCUGCCCUGUCAAGCAUAAAGGCACCAGGUGGUAGAGGCUGAGCCAAGUGGAUGAGAUCAAGAAGACCGAAAAAACCCUGGAGUCUCCCACAGGGCACCAUCUCAUCGUUCCUCCAGAAACUCAUCCUUGCCACAAGCAUCACAGGAGGCUCCACCUCAACCAGCUUCAUCCUUGUCUGUGUUUGAGAUUAUGUGUUGCUUUGGCUCUAGAGCACCUUCCAGUAUUUCUGAUGAUGCCUCAGUUCUUUGGCUUUAAUUAGAUCCCAACAAUACAUAUACUGGGGGAAUGGUUCCCCCUUUCCAUCAACCCCUCUCUGUACCAGCCUCAUUCCCCUCUUCCCACAGUGCCAAGAACACUGAGCAUGACUAUGGGCUCAUCACCUCCA